ACGAAUCCUGUGCACUACAUAAGGAAGAUGUACUUUUCUACUUGUUGAUUAAACGCUUGUCUCUUGGAAGUGACGGUUGGUGUUCGGCUGCUUCUACAAGGUGUAACACUGGCUGCGACGGAGCUCCUUCAACCAGGAGUGUGUUACGGCAAAGGCAUCAACGAAUGCCGUUCCUUGGAACUCGAAGGAGUUACACAUGUGGGCAGUUGGCAAUCAUCCUCGGGGCAGCCACGAUGGAAUAUCACAGUGCUCUGCCGAGGGACCUGCCCUUGCCUGUGGCUGAACUGGGCUCGACGAGCAACGAUAACACCAGUGUGACGAUCGCCAACGGUGACUCAUCAUCUUGGACUACACAUCAACCACAACCGGGUGACGCAAGCCUCCUUUAGGAAGGCUGACCUUCCUACCCCGAACUAAGGAAGCAUGGGGCAACACGAGACGUGGCCACCCACCCAUCUUGCGCCGAUGCCAGAGACAGUGCCGCCGCGUAGGAGUGAGCGUGUUCGUGUGCCUACAAAGAGAUACGAGUCUGUGGACUUCAGAAACAAGUGAUUUUCGGUGACCUGUUAAUGCAUGUCUUUUUCCUUAUUUGAUAUUGUAAUGCCUAAUCUAUCAUAGAAAUCUAUUCUGUAAGAAAUCUUCCGUUAACUAUUGAGCACUGUGAUGCACCGAUACCUUGCUGCGUACCAAACUUAAGGGGGAAGGUGUGAUAUCGAGCAUGUUGCGUGUUAUCAAAUGCGAUAAAGCAGACCCGCUGUACGGGGGCCGUAACUGGCGCCAGGAGUCGUGACGAAUCGUGUGCACUGCGUAAGUCCGUUUCACACUAACGUUUUUCUCGUCUGUGUUUUUCACGGAGCUAAAACGGACCCAUGGACCCUACGGAGCUCUAUUACCCGUAGGUUCUAUUUUUGAAGCAAACUGACGACAAACACGGUAGUGUUAGACAGGCCUAAGGAAGAUGUACUCGAUUAUUUCUUGAUUAAACGCUUGUCUCUUGGAAGU